rnacentral:lncRNA from 1 species
AAAUAAUAAAUUACAUGGGACAUUAUCAUUUACAGAUACCUUCAGAGGCACGUACAAUGUAAGGUAUUAACUUUGAACGUUUUAAACCUCAAAGGCAAUCUUAGAUAAGGAAUGUAUUAAAGUGAAAUACACUGUAAACUGUAAAUUUAAAACUAUCAGAAGCCCAGCAGGGUGGCUUAUACCUAUAAUCCCAGCACUUUGGGAGGCCAAAGUGAGAGGAUCACUUGAGCCCAGGAGUUUGAGACCAGCCUGGGUAAAAUAGCGAGACCUGUCUCUACGGCACAUCUGCAGUCCCAGCUACUCAGGAGGCUGAAGUGGGAGGUUCACUUGAGCCCCGGAGGUUGAGGUUGCAGUGAGCCAUGAUCAUGCCCCUGCACUCCAUACAUUUCCUCACCCAACAUAAGGGUCAUGGCCAACGCUUCUACAACAAAGACAGGUUAACAAAAGAAAAGUGUAACAAAUAAAUUUAAUGGCAGUCUUAUGUGACACAGGAGUCUUCAGAAAUAAAGACCCAGAGAAAGCUGUCCAUUUGUAUGCUUAGAUUCAACAAAGAGUGGACAUCCAUGUAGAAAUGUGAGUGUACAAAAAGAGAAUGAACUAAUAGUAAUAGACUGAGUGUGGAAACCCAGCAAGGCCUGUCUGUUCAGAUUCUUCUUCACCUUUCUGUGUAACAUUCCUUCCACCCAGGUAUAAAGCAGACUUCUCUGGAAUGAGAGUCUUCAAAUGAGAAGGGAGAGAGUGACCCUUCUUGGUUUCAUGGCUUGCUUUGUGGUGAGAGGAGUUCUGGUUUCUAUGACUAGCUUAGGGUGAGUAAGAGGGAUGGGAGACAGCAGGACAGAAGUUCAGUGAGAUACUUUGCUUCUCAGGCUUUCCAGCCUCCUUUAGUUCAAAGUACUUGGCAUGAGGGCCAGGUGCAGCGGCUCACUCCUGUAAUCCCAGCACUUUGGGAAACUGAAGCAGGGGGAUCACUUGAGCCCAGAAGUCUGAGACUAGCCUGGGCAAUGUGAUGAAACCCCAUUCCUACAAAACACUUUUUUGUUUGUUUGUUUGUUAAUUAGCCAGGUGUGGUGGUAUGCACCUGUAGUCCCAGCUACUUGGGAGGCUGAGGUGGGAAGACAGCUUGAGCCAGGAGAUUGCAGCUGCAGUAAACUGUGAGUGAUCAAGUCAUUGUACUCCAGUUUGGGCAAUAGAGUAAGACCUUAUCUCAAAAAAAAAAAAAAAA